AUUGAACGCUGGCGGCAGGCUUAACACAUGCAAGUCGAGCGGGGAAGGGUAGCUUGCUACCUAACCUAGCGGCGGACGGGUGAGUAAUGCUUAGGAAUCUGCCAUUUAGUGGGGGACAACAUUCCGAAAGGAAUGCUAAUACCGCAUACGUCCUACGAGAGAAAGCAGGGGAUCUUCGGACCUUGCGCUAAAUGAUGAGCCUAAGUCGGAUUAGCUAGUUGGUGGGGUAAAGGCCUACCAAGGCGACGAGCUGUAGCGGGUCUGAGAGGAUGAUCCGCCACACUGGGACUGAGACACGGCCCAGACUCCUACGGGAGGCAGCAGUGGGGAAUAUUGGACAAUGGGCGGAAGCCUGAUCCAGCCAUGCCGCGUGUGUGAAGAAGGCCUUAUGGUUGUAAAGCACUUUAAGCGAGGAGGAGGCUACUUAGAUUAAUACUCUAGGAUAGUGGACGUUACUCGCAGAAUAAGCACCGGUUAACUCUGUGCCAGCCGCCGCCGUAA
rnacentral:rRNA from 1 species